AGGGCAAACGGGCAGGCUAAUAAUGCAAGUUGACGGGAUUCAUGGAAACUAGCAAUAGCGGAAAUGAUGAGAGUAGCGCACGGGUGCGUAACACGUAUGCAACCUACCUUUAACCGGGACAUAACCUCGAGAAAUUGAAGCUAAUAUCCCAUGUGAUUGUUUGAAGGCAUCUUUGGACAAUUAAAAUUCAGAUGGUUAAAGAUGGGCAUGCGUCCCAUUAGCUAGUUGGUGAGGUAACGGCUCACCAAGGCCACGAUGGGUAGGGGUUCUGAGAGGAUGAUCCCCCACACUGGUACUGAGACACGGACCAGACUCCUACGGGAGGCAGCAGUAAGGAAUAUUGGUCAAUGGACGCAAGUCUGAACCAGCCAUGCCGCGUGCAGGAAGACGGCCCUAUGGGUUGUAAACUGCUUUUGUACGGGAAGAACUACAUUUACGUGUAAAUGUUUGACGGUACCGUAAGAAUAAGGAUCGGCUAACUCCGUGCCAGCAGCCGCGGUAAUACGGAGGAUCCGAGCGUUAUCCGGAUUUAUUGGGUUUAAAGGGUGCGCAGGCGGACGUAUAAGUCAGAGGUGAAAUUCCAGGGCUCAACCCUGGUACUGCCUUUGAUACUGUAUGUCUAGAGUAUAUUUGGAGUGGGCGGAAUGUAGCAUGUAGCGGUGAAAUGCUUAGAUAUGCUACAGAACACCGAUCGUGAAGACAGCUCACUAAACUAUAACUGACGCUCAGGCACGAAAGCGUGGGGAGCAAACAGGAUUAGAUACCCUGGUAGUCCACGCCGUAAACGAUGAUUACUCGCUGUUGGCGAUACACAGUCAGCGGCUAAGCGAAAGUGAUAAGUAAUCCACCUGGGGAGUACGAUCGCAAGAUUGAAACUCAAAGGAAUUGACGGGGGCCCGCACAAGCGGAGGAGCAUGUGGUUUAAUUCGAUGAUACGCGAGGAACCUUACCUGGGCUCGAACGUAGUUGGACUAAGUGUGAAAGCAUUUAUUUCUU
rnacentral:rRNA from 1 species